rnacentral:lncRNA from 1 species
AGGAGGCCCAUUCUGAUGUGUGGAGUCAGGUGAGAAGAAGUGAGGCCAAGAACUUUUGGAAUUAAAAGCAGUGUGACUGCAGCUCGCCAUUCUCCUCUCUGAGCUCGGGGAUGACCAGAAGAACACCACCUGCAGGCUGACGGUCAGGAUGAAGUAAAAGAACCCACUAGAAAAACACUCUCCCAAUGGCAGGGAUUCAUAACUUAACCUGUCAAAGUGCUGGACAAAUCCGAGGAGGAGUGGCGCAGCCCCCUCCGCUGCCCCGCUGCGUCCUCCCCGGCCCCCCGGCUCCCAGGAUGGCCUGUCAGGAACGGAGCGUCCACCAGGCAGAGGCAGCGUGCCCUCGCACAGAACGGUCUCUGCAGCGGAGGAGGAGCCUGCAGCGUUCCUCCACAGACAGCACCUUCCCCCGCCCCAUCUUGGGCUCAGAGGACACACAGCCCUUGUAGGCCUGCGAGUGGAUGCUGACCGACUCCGCGUUUCAUCUCAGAAAGGCGAGAUGGAAAGCACAGCCCUAUCAUCUGAGGCUCACCAACGCUUGCCGAACGGAUGGAUAAGAGAUCAGAUGCAGCCGCCACGUCAUGGACCACUGAGCUAUUGCAAGCAGAAGGGAGCGCCACGGUUCACACCUGCGGGCCUGCGUUCACCGCCUUAUCUCAGUUCACAGCAAACAUCAGCGAUCACCUACCUUGUCUCAGAGCUCACAUCUGAGGGCACAGGAGGGCCUAUGGGGCAGCGAGGCCAAAUAUCUAUAAUUUGACUUCGUUGUGAACUUUCCCACUCCUACCUUCUAUCUGAGGAGUGAUUAUGCUGGAAGGUAACCAGUUAUGCAGUCAGUAGUUGUAAAAUAAAAAUGAAAUUGGCUCUCUGUAUUUAGUUUCCAAAAUUAUGUUAAUCAGAAUGAUCUCAUUUAAGCUUCACAACAACCUUGGGAGGUAGGUAUGAUCAUCACCCCAUUUUACUAUUGAGCAAACUGAGGCUCUGAGAGGAUAAUCAACUUCUCUGGUACCUGGCAGAGCGGGACUUGAAGCCAGGUCCGGAGCCCAGCCGACGGGACAGGCCUGGGAAGCACGGAG